GACGAACGCUGGCGGCGUGCCUAAUACAUGCAAGUCGAGCGGAAGUUGGAGAGCUUGCUCUUCAACUUUAGCGGCGGACGGGUGAGUAACACGUGGGCAACCUGCCCUGCAGAUCGGGAUAACUCCGGGAAACCGGUGCUAAUACCGAAUAGUUUUCGCCACCUCCUGGUGGCGUACGGAAAGACGGUUUCGGCUGUCACUGCAGGAUGGGCCCGCGGCGCAUUAGCUAGUUGGUGGGGUAACGGCCCACCAAGGCGACGAUGCGUAGCCGACCUGAGAGGGUGAUCGGCCACACUGGGACUGAGACUCGGCCCAGACUCCUACGGGAGGCAGCAGUAGGGAAUCUUCCGCAAUGGGCGAAAGUCUGACGGAGCAACGCCGCGUGAGUGACGAAGGUUUUCGGAUCGUAAAACUCUGUUGUGAGGGAAGAACAAGUACCACUUAACUACUGGUACCUUGACGGUACCUCACCAGAAAGCCACGGCUAACUACGUGCCAGCCGCCGCUGUAACAC
rnacentral:rRNA from 1 species